GAAAACUCCGGUGGUACGGGAUGGACCCGCGUCUGAUUAGCUGGUUGGCGGGGUAACGGCCCACCAAGGCGACGAUCAGUAGCCGGCCUGAGAGGGCGGACGGCCACAUUGGGACUGAGACACGGCCCAAACUCCUACGGGAGGCAGCAGUGGGGAAUAUUGCACAAUGGGGGAAACCCUGAUGCAGCGACGCCGCGUGAGUGAAGAAGCGUUUCGGCGCGUAAAGCUCUGUCAGCGGGGAAGAAACACGGUUCGCGAGAGCCGCGGACGGUACCCGACCAAGAAGCCCCGGCUAACUACGUGCCAGCAGCCGCGGUAAUACGUAGGGGGCAAGCGUUAUCCGGAUUCACUGGGUGUAAAGGGAGCGUAGACGGCGAGACAAGUCUGGAGUGAAAGGCCGGGGCCCAACCCCGGGACUGCUCUGGAAACUGCCUGGCUGGAGUACAGGAGAGGUAAGUGGAAUUCCUAGUGUAGCGGUGAAAUGCGUAGAUAUUAGGAGGAACACCAGUGGCGAAGGCGGCUUACUGGACUGUAACUGACGUUGAGGCUCGAAAGCGUGGGGAGCAAACAGGAUUAGAUACCCUGGUAGUCCACGCCGUAAACGAUGAUCACUAGGUGUCGGGGGUUAGAAGGCCCCCG
rnacentral:rRNA from 1 species